UGCAUCGAUGAAGAACGCAGCGAAAUGCGAUAAGUAAUGUGAAUUGCAGAAUUCAGUGAAUCAUCGAAUCUUUGAACGCACCUUGCGCUCCCUGGUAUUCCGGGGAGCAUGCCUGUUUGAGUGUCAUGGUAUUCUCAACCUUCAUAACUUUUGUUAUCGAAGGCUUGGACUUGGAGGUUGUGCUGGCUUCUAGUUAAGUCGGCUCCUCUUAAAUGUAUUAGCGUGAGUGUAACGGAUCGCUUCGGUGUGAUAAUUAUCUGCGCCGUGGUCGUGAAGUAACAUAAGCUUGCGCUUCUAACCGUCCUUCAGUUGGACAAUUACUUUGACAUCUGACCUCAAAUCAGGUAGGACUACCCGCUGAACUUAAGCAUAUCAAUAAGCGGAGGAU
rnacentral:misc_RNA from 1 species